rnacentral:rRNA from 1 species
UACGAAGGGGGCUAGCGUUGCUCGGAAUUACUGGGCGUAAAGCGCACGUAGGCGGAUUGUUAAGUCGGGGGUGAAAUCCUGGAGCUCAACUCCAGAACUGCCUUCGAUACUGGCGAUCUCGAGUCCGGGAGAGGUGAGUGGAACUGCGAGUGUAGAGGUGAAAUUCGUAGAUAUUCGCAAGAACACCAGUGGCGAAGGCGGCUCACUGGCCCGGUACUGACGCUGAGGUGCGAAAGCUAGGGGAGCAAACGGG